AAAACUACUCAAUCCCAUGGGUAUGAAACUCAUUUAAGCGAGAGUACUACUAGGAUGGGUGACCUCCUGGGAAAUUCUCGUGAAAGGGUUUC
rnacentral:rRNA from 1 species